rnacentral:lncRNA from 1 species
GGAUCAUUGGCCCUUGUACAGGUGUGCUGCAUACAGCUGCUGAGGCUGAAAGACAGUAUCACUGUGAAAGAGCAGGAAAGAGAAGGCACGGCCAGAAUGCAAGAAAAUGAAGGAAAAAACAUCACUUGGAUAAAAAGCUGAAACAAUCAGCUUCUAAGGCUCUUAACAUCAUCAUGUAGACUCUAAACCCCAAAGGGUUAAUGAGCCAGGAUUCAGAUCUUCGCUUGGUUUAAUGAGCUUAUUCAAAAGUUCUUUCAGGUUCUCCAGGUCAGCUUCUGUACUGAGCCAUCUGACAUUUCUCUUUUUUCCCUUUGUUUCAGAGUCAAUCCAGCAUAAAAAUACCAGCCCCAUUACUGUCUGUUCAGCACCUGGGGAAGCUGCCAAGUCCCCUGCGUGCAGGGAGGAGGUGAGGCACCCAUGAGAAACGCUUUAGCCAAGUCCUUUAUGUACAUGCUAAAGCCAAAGAGAGAUUCCAGAAGAACAGUACAGAGCUCUACUGGAAACCAGAGGGGACACAGCAAGAUUUCUUUACAACAUUUAUAUCCAUAGUAACAAAAAUCCAACCCUGUAUGUCCCAUUGGCAAGCUCAGUUGUCCACCUCUUCCUCAUCGUUUUGCUCUUCUUCCUCCAUCCUUUCAUCGUCGUCAUCGUUAUCAUCUUCUCGGCUCUUAUCUUGUUCCUCUGAGUCUGCCUUCUUGUCUUUAUCUUUUCUCGCUUCUUUCUUUCCCUUCUGUUCACGUCUGUAAACUUCCAGGGAUUCUUUCAAAGGUGCUAUAAAUCGCUGAAACUCCAUUUCCUCCAUGGCAGAGAGAACAUCACCAGCAUUCAGCGUUUUCCUCUUCCCCUUCAUGGCAAAGUUAUUUGCACAUGACGUUGCAUAGAGCACAAACACACUUGCUGCUCGAGAUAUUGCGCUCCGAGCUUCUUUGGAGAUGUUCACCCCAUCAGGCAGCGCCUCUUUGAUGAUGCGGGUGAUGACGGCGUUGGGCAGGUUGAGGUCCUCCGGUCUCUCCGCCAUCCUGAGCCUCCCGCACACUACAGGCGGUGCUCUCGCGACCCAACCCGGCCGCACCGCGUCCCGCGCCGCGCAGCCCCGUCCCACAAUGCACCGCGCCGCUCCUUCCCGCCCUGCUCCGCGGCCG